rfam:Salmo salar isolate Sally breed double haploid chromosome ssa20, whole genome shotgun sequence.
UGUAUUCACUACUGUAAGUCGCUCUGGAUGAGGGCAUCUGCUAAAUGACUAAAA